rnacentral:sRNA from 23 species
ACUGUGGAGUGUACAGGAACUUGUAAGUAGUGAAUUAUUUGAUAAUCACAAAAGCAUACACGGUGAAGCAGUAA